CAUGCAAGUCGAACGGAGGUCCUGCUUAUGCCGGGUGCCUUAGUGGCGGACGGGUGAGUAACGCGUGGGAACCUGCCCUUGAGUGGGGGACAACCAUUGGAAACGAUGGCUAAUACCGCAUAAUCCCUUUGGGGGAAAGGCUUAGGCCGCUCCUGGAUGGUCCCGCGUUAGAUUAGUUUGUUGGUGGGGUAACGGCUUACCAAGGCGACGAUCUAUAGCUGGUUUGAGAGGAUGAUCAGCCACACUGGGACUGAGACACGGCCCAGACUCCUACGGGAGGCAGCAGUGGGGAAUAUUGGACAAUGGGGGCAACCCUGAUCCAGCAAUGCCGCGUGAGUGAAGAAGGCCCUAGGGUUGUAAAGCUCUUUCAACUGUGAAGAUGAUGACGGUAGCAGUAGAAGAAGCCCCGGCUAACUCCGUGCCAGCAGCCGCGGUAAUACGGAGGGGGCUAGCGUUAUUCGGAAUUACUGGGCGUAAAGCGCACGUAGGCGGCGUAUCAAGUUAGAGGUGAAAGGCCUGGGCUCAACCCGGGAACUGCCUUUAAGACUGAUAUGCUUGAGUUCGGAAGAGGGUAGUGGAAUUCCAAGUGUAGAGGUGAAA
rnacentral:rRNA from 1 species